rnacentral:rRNA from 1 species
UACGUAGGGUGCAAGCGUUGUCCGGAAUUACUGGGCGUAAAGCGCGUGUAGGCUGCUUCGCAAGUCGGAUGUGAAAGCCCUGGGCUCAACCCAGGAAGUGCAUUCGAAACUGCAGAGCUGGAGUCCUGGAGAGGAAGGCGGAAUUCUCGGUGUAGAGGUGAAAUUCGUAGAUAUCGAGAGGAACACCGGUGGCGAAGGCGGCCUUCUGGACAGUGACUGACGCUGAGACGCGAAAGCGUGGGGAGCAAACAGG